AGGCUACAAUACUGCCACUGCGAAAGAAUGAUGCACAGACGUUAGAGAGGAGGGGCCUCUAACAUCUGCACACCCCACCAAACUUCCUUUUUUACUUCUCUAAGUGCUGACUCCUAGUUUUCUGAUGUUUCUGGAAAUUUAGUGUUUAAGGAAAAACAGAAAUCUUUCCUUGGUGCAUGGUUUAGUUCAACAUAUUAAAACAGUGUUAUAAUCCAAAAUUCAUUAUAACUUUUAAUGAUUUUGUUGAUUUCUGUACGGAACUUUAGCUCUUGAUCUGUCAUGGACCACACCUGGCAGCGCUACUCCAUCUGUCGUACUUUGACCUUUCAGUUCCUCAUACUGAGUCAACAUAUUGCUAAAUAACAAUUGAGUAACUUGCAGAAGUGUGACAAAUGCAUGUAGUUGUGCAAGUUUUCUAUUUAAUUUAGCUGUUUUUCAUAAACAGUGUCAGUUGCUUAUUUGCUCAUUACAACAUUCUGCUUAAGUUUAGUAUAGUGAAACUGUGCAUAGCUGCAUAGAUAAGUAGUUAAUCUCCAAACUGAGCCCUGUAAGUUUUAAUCAAGGCCACGUGGCCAUAAGACAGGAAAUCACUUCAAGAAUAUUCUAUGGAUCUCCUGUGUCAGACCAAUCUAAACAUUUUGCCACCAAACAGUCCACUGCAGCACAGGAGGCUUAUUGUAAUUGUGGAUUCUCUAAAAUUGUUGAAGCAACCAAGUUUUCAAAUAUGGGAACAUUGGAAAUAUGUAGGACCUGAGACAGAAACCUGAGUCAGAAACGUUCAGGAUGUCAAAAAACUCCUGAGUAAGCUAAAGCUAAUGAAGGAAUAAACUAUAUGGCCUAUGAUGCUCCUGGCUGCAGUACAGUGGCCCACGGGUCUAUUCUGGGUGUGUGUCCAAGGUAGAGUGAAAUAGUUGCAGAGCUAGUGGGAAUAAGUGGGAAUAAGCGUGUGUGUGUGUGUGUGUGUGUGUGUGUGUGUGUGUGUGUGUGUGUGUGUGUGUGUGUGUGUGUGUGUGUGUGUGUGGAUAGACUCACACAUUGUUGGGUGGGUGCGAUUACUGAAUUUAUCCUUGCUCGUCACAGGUGUCUGGUCACCACUCAAUGUACAUGCCACCUCUGAAAGUGAUAUUAUCAGUCUGGUGAAAAAUGCUGCCAUAAAAACUAUUACUUGUUAUUUAAAACACAAUACAAAACAAAAGCUGAAUAUGUCCACUGAAUUACAUGUUUUCUACAGUACAAUUAACCAAUUUAAUGAUUAACUUUAAACAUACACAGCUGUGAUUCUGUUAUGUGUACAAAGUGAGAUCACUGAGCCAGUGGGUGGUAAAGAUACUGAAGUCCUGCCCACCAGGGCCGCUUUUACAACAUACACAGAAUUAUUUAAUAUAUUAACACAUCAUUUAAAUGAGCAACGUACUGCACAAUAUAUAAACCCACUGAUUCAGACUUUGACCAACUCCUGCCUCAACCACAACAGUUGAACCAGCAACCAACAACUCAUCAACAAGGGCAACAUGGAAAUCAUGAAGAUGAAGUUUACCUGCCUGCUUCUGACCCUGUUUCUCUCUGAAACUCUCUCUGUGCCUACAACUACUUGGUUAAGCUUCCGUCAGAAACACCUGAUCAGUGGAAACUUCAGAACAUGUAAGGACCACAUGAAGCCCAUCAACCGUGCUGCGAGGGACUGUAAAUACACAAACACCUUCAUUAUGGACCCCAAUGAUACAGUCAUUGGUCUCUGCCAGGGACGUAACGGACCUAUUACAUCUACUGCACGUUAUGGUCUGGUGCUCUGUAGAGGAGGGGGCAGUUUUCCUCACUGUACCUAUGAUGAUGGUGUAAUGUUCAAUGGAUAUAUCAGAAUGCAGUGCUUCCGUGAUGAGCCUGAACAUUACAUAGGACAUGCUUAAAGACAGUGGUUAUAAUCAAGAUUGUUCAGCCUGAGCAGUGUUGUUCCUGCUGUGUACUAGAGAGCUGUUUAUUCAAAAUCAAUACAUACAUGCCUAGUACAGGUGUUUUAUUAGGCUGUUAUAAUAACUUCUAUUCUUGCUUUUCUUACAUUUAUGCAUUUAUAAGGUUAAAUAGGGAAAGAACCAUGACUCUCAAAACAUCAGAUUCAGUAUGUGGGGAGACCUGUGGAAUCCUUGGCUGAUGGAUUGCUGGGUCCACAGCAGCCAGUAUGUCCAUCAAAACCUAACACAAUUUAUUAUGAUCUAUUCAUGUACUGUUAACUCACCAUACACCUUUUUUGUUCUUUUGCAUCAGCUGAAUAAAGUUUUCAAAAUUUGA